rnacentral:tRNA from 1 species
AUUUAAAUAGUUUAAUAAAAAUAUUGAUUUGUGGUAUCAAAGAUGUAGAUUAUACUUUAAAUU